CAAUGCCGCUGCUAUACAUGCAAGUCGAGCGAACGGACGAGAAGCUUGCUUCUCUGAUGUUAGCGGCGGACGGGUGAGUAACACGUGGAUAACCUACCUAUAAGACUGGGAUAACUUCGGGAAACCGGAGCUAAUACCGGAUAAUAUUUUGAACCGCAUGGUUCAAAAGUGAAAGACGGUCUUGCUGUCACUUAUAGAUGGAUCCGCGCUGCAUUAGCUAGUUGGUAAGGUAACGGCUUACCAAGGCAACGAUGCAUAGCCGACCUGAGAGGGUGAUCGGCCACACUGGAACUGAGACACGGUCCAGACUCCUACGGGAGGCAGCAGUAGGGAAUCUUCCGCAAUGGGCGAAAGCCUGACGGAGCAACGCCGCGUGAGUGAUGAAGGUCUUCGGAUCGUAAAACUCUGUUAUUAGGGAAGAACAUAUGUGUAAGUAACUGUGCACAUCUUGACGGUACCUAAUCAGAAAGCCACGGCUAACUACGUGCCAGCAGCCGCGGUAAUACGUAGGUGGCAAGCGUUAUCCGGAAUUAUUGGGCGUAAAGCGCGCGUAGGCGGUUUUUUAAGUCUGAUGUGAAAGCCCACGGCUCAACCGUGGAGGGUCAUUGGAAACUGGAAAACUUGAGUGCAGAAGAGGAAAGUGGAAUUCCAUGUGUAGCGGUGAAAUGCGCAGAGAUAUGGAGGAACACCAGUGGCGAAGGCGACUUUCUGGUCUGUAACUGACGCUGAUGUGCGAAAGCGUGGGGAUCAAACAGGAUUAGAUACCCUGGUAGUCCACGCCGUAAACGAUGAGUGCUAAGUGUUAGGGGGUUUCCGCCCCUUAGUGCUGCAGCUAACGCAUUAAGCACUCCGCCUGGGGAGUACGACCGCAAGGUUGAAACUCAAAGGAAUUGACGGGGACCCGCACAAGCGGUGGAGCAUGUGGUUUAAUUCGAAGCAACGCGAAGAACCUUACCAAAUCUUGACAUCCUUUGACAACUCUAGAGAUAGAGCCUUCCCCUUCGGGGGACAAAGUGACAGGUGGUGCAUGGUUGUCGUCAGCUCGUGUCGUGAGAUGUUGGGUUAAGUCCCGCAACGAGCGCAACCCUUAAGCUUAGUUGCCAUCAUUAAGUUGGGCACUUCUAAGUUGACUGCCGGUGACAAACCGGAGGAAGGUGGGGAUGACGUCAAAUCAUCAUGCCCCUUAUGAUUUGGGCUACACACGUGCUACAAUGGACAAUACAAAGGGCAGCGAAACCGCGAGGUCAAGCAAAUCCCAUAAAGUUGUUCUCAGUUCGGAUUGUAGUCUGCAACUCGACUACAUGAAGCUGGAAUCGCUAGUAAUCGUAGAUCAGCAUGCUACGGUGAAUACGUUCCCGGGUCUUGUACACACCGCCCGUCACACCACGAGAGUUUGUAACACCCGAAGCCGGUGGAGUAACCUUUUAGGAGCUAGCCGUCGAAGUGAACCAAA
rnacentral:rRNA from 1 species